ACAAUAGAAUAGGAUUUCUCAAGGGUGGUCGGUACACUCCCAAACAGGAGGGGGGUGAUGCCGAAUGACAGUUUUUGAAUCGUUAAUGUUUGCGGUUGGCUUUGCUAGUCUAAUCGUAGCGAUCCUGUCAUUUAAAUCAAAAAAUAAUCCACCCUUGAGUUAACCGGCUCAGGUGGAUUAUUCUGCCAAAAAAGCUGACCCCCUUUGAGGGAUCGUCUAUUGUUGGACCGGACAUGCUCUAACAUGUUCG
rnacentral:sRNA from 1 species